GAGUGUCGCUCUUGUUGCCCAGGCUGGAGUGCAAUAGCACGAUCUUGGCUCACCAUAACCUCCACCUCCUGGGUUCAAGCGAUUCUCCUGCCUCAGCCUCCUGAGUAGCUGGGACUACAGGCAUGCGCCACCACGCCCAGCUAAUUUUGUACUUUUAGUACAGACGGAGUUUCUCCAUGUUGGUCAGGCUGUUCUGGAACUCCCGACCUCAGGUGCUCCACCCGCCUCGGCCUCUCAAAGUGCUGGGAUUACAGGCGUGACCCACUGCAGUCGGACAGGUGAGACAACUGAGACUCAGAUGAGUUAAAAACACAUUCACCAUCAUAUAGUAAUAAGCGAUGGAACUGGGAUUCAGUCCAGUUCUGUCUGACUCCAAAGGUGGUGCAUCAUCUUAACGAAGACCAAGUUAUACCCAGCACAUGAAGGAACUGAAAACCACAAUAAGUGAGGACUUGUUAAAGAAACAAGUGAUGUUUAUCCUGAGAAUGACUGACAACAUUUCAGUGAAAAAAUGAGAGUAGUAUUUGAAUAACUGAAGGUCUACCGCAGAAGAGGGUUUCAGCUGGAUGUGUUCUGCAGACUCCUAGGAUCCACGGCAUGGAACCAUGCACCUCCUUGCACUGUCACUCAGCUACUCAGAACAUCUCUUGAACAUCUCUUGAACAAUUCUGUUGUUGGAAGUUUAUAAUGUCAGGUGCCAGCACACUUGAAAUGCGUGAAAAUGAGGGGAUACACACAACACUUCUGUUCAAGUUUUGAUUCAGCCUGCCUCAGUGUCCUGGCCUGUUUUCUCACUGGAUACAAUGGACAGGCCAUCAGCAUCAGACUGUGUUCCGAAUAAUCAGAGGACAUUGUGUUUUGCUUUCAUCUGAAAAGAUAAUAAAUAAAUCAGGAAACCAGAAAAAGUCAAA